AGAGAAAUUAAAUUCAGCCUUUACUCUGACAGUUACAAUUUGAGUUUGUCUAUUUUCACGUGGACAUAGCAGUUUGUGUUGUAGGUGAUACAAAACGUCGCAAAAAUGAAGGUUAGCGCACUUCUCGUCGUUAUGCUUGUGUUUGCCAUGGUGAUUACCGCACCGGAAGUUGUCAGCGCUAAAGCUGCAAAACAGGAACAAAAGGACGAAAAAGCGAACAGCAAUGGAGAUCAGAAAACAGUGGUUGAAAAGCCAGACCCCGGGAAACAAGUGUUUUAUCCAGGAAGAUACUGAUGAAAUAUUCAGUUUGUUAACAGGCAAACAAAACGGACACAAGGACACAUGGACAAUGGAAAAGUGAAAUGGACUUGAAAUUGACUUUUAUGUUACACGGAAAGAGCUCUUUCAAAUAAUAAAAUUGUGGCAAAAGUA